UGAAUAUAUAGAACGAAUACGCCAACUUAUUAUCACUUCCAGCUAGACGUUCGUGGUGUGAACAUGUCCUUUCCGUGCAAUAUAUGUGCCAAAGUAUUUUCAACACGCGGCAACCUCAAGCGUCAUACUUUGAAUGCCCAUGGAGAUGUUCAAAGCAAACCAGUUGAAAUCUCAGCAGGAUCUACAGUUUUGCAGCAUCCUUUCACAUGUAUCGUAGCUGGGUGUACCCAAAGCGGCAAGACUGUGUGGGUAAAAUCUCUCUUGGAGAAUGCACAGAAAACUAUAAGUCCUGCUCCUCAACGUAUCAUUUGGUGUUAUGGUCAAUGGCAACCCUCCUAUUUUGAUAUGAUGAGAACGAUGACUGGAAUCGAGUUUAAUAAAGGCAUCCCCGAAGACAUCGACAACGCAGAUUACUUGGACGUAUCGCAACGGAAUUUGGUCGUAUUGGACGACCUUAUGACUCAAUCUGGCAAAGAUAAACGUAUUUCUGAUCUUUUUACGAAAGGAAGUCAUCAUCGGAAUUUAUCUAUCAUCUAUAUUGUUCAAAAUAUAUUCCAUCAAGG